GUAUUCUAUAAUAUAAAUAUUUUUUAACUCACGAAAUUUGCUGAGCUAAUUUUUUUUCCAAUUUGGGGGAGCAAAAUAAUGUGGCAUUAUUAAUAUUAAAAAAAAAAAUUAGGGGUGAUAGGCUAACCAAAGUAAAGGAUAUCUUGAUAUUUAGGAAAUAUAUUUAGUAUAAAUACAAUUCAAAAAUGUUAAGGUUUUUGCAAUGUAUUAUUGUUCUUGUUUAUUAAACUGUUUAUUUAAUAAUUACUAAUAAUUAAGUAAUAUUAUACCUUAGGUUUACUAUAUAUAAAAUACUAAAAGUUUAAAGAUAAAGGGUUAUUUAAAAGAUAAUGAAUAUAUUAGUAUAUAAUUUAUAUGUUCAAAAGGAACUCGGCAAAAUAAUAGCUCGACUGUUUAUCAAAAACAUUUCUUUAGGAACUUUAACUAAAGUUUCCCCUGCUCAAUGAAUUUUAAAUAGCCGCAGUACCUUGACUGUGCAAAGGUAGCAUAAUCAGUUGGCUUAUAAUUAAAGUCUAGAAUGAAAGGGCUUACGGGUUAUAUCUGUCUCUUCAGUAUAUAUAAAAAUUACUUAAUAAGUGAAAAUUCUUAUUGAAAUAAAACAGACGAGAAGACCCUAGAAAUUUUUUAUACGUUUUCUUCGCAAUAUUUUGUUGGGGCGACAAAGUAACAAAGAACUUACUUUAUGUACAUGAAGUGAUUUACACUGUUUGAAUAAAUUACUCUAGGGAUAACAGCAUUAUUUAAUAUAAGUUUGUGACCUCGAUGUUGGACUAGGGUACCAUUUACUUAAAAGGUAUUAUGGACGGCUCUGUUCGAGCUUUAUUCCCUACAUGAUCUGAGUUCAGACCGG
rnacentral:rRNA from 1 species